AAAACGUUUGGUUGUUGCGAGGGCUGAUUAGCACGGCACAAGUAGCGGGGAACUAAGCUAUGCUUGAAGGCAAAUAAAUGUUUUUGUAUUUCUUUAUA